UCUAAUAUGGCAGAAUAGUGCAAUGAAUUUAAGAUUCAUAUAUAAAGAAAUAUCUUUUUUUAGAA
rnacentral:tRNA from 1 species